GGACGAACGCUGGCGGCGUGCCUAACACAUGCAAGUCGAACGGGGUAGAGAGCUUCGGUUUUCUACUUAGUGGCGAACGGGUGAGUAACGCGUGAGGAACCUGCCUUCCAGUGGGGGACAACAGUUGGAAACGACUGCUAAUACCGCAUAACAUACACGGACCGCAUGAUCUGUGUAUCAAAGCUUUAUGUGCUGGAAGAUGGCCUCGCGUCUGAUUAGCUAGUUGGUGGGGUAACGGCUCACCAAGUCAACGAUCAGUAGCCGGUCUGAGAGGAUGAACGGCCACAUUGGGACUGAGAUACGGCCCAGACUCCUACGGGAGGCAGCAGUGGGGAAUAUUGGGCAAUGGGGGAAACCCUGACCCAGCAACGCCGCGUGAAGGAAGAAGGCCCUCGGGUUGUAAACUUCUUUUAGCAGGGACGAAGAACGUGACGGUACCUGCAGAAAAAGCAACGGCUAACUACGUG
rnacentral:rRNA from 1 species